AUAUGCUAGUAGUGGGCAUUUAGCUUAUUUAGUCGGUCAGGUUCGAAAGGAAGCAGCCGGAGUAGGAUCUAGUGGGUCAUUACUAGCAUUUACU
rnacentral:SRP_RNA from 1 species